rnacentral:lncRNA from 1 species
AAAAGACUCAAUUGAAGUUGUAGUUGACCCUAUGAGAACUUACCCCUGGUCCUAGAUUAAUCAAUUAAGGUAUUAGUCUAAUAUGUGAAAUCAAUUAAAAUUGUAUAAAAACAAAUGUUCAACCUGUUGCGACAGAUUAACCAUUUGUUGUAAGUUAUCAAACAGAUUAAGUUAUUUGCUAUAAUAGAUUACUUAUCUGUUGUAAAUUAUCAAACAGAUUAA